GCCUACAGCCAUGCCGCCCUGAACGUGCCCGAUCUCUUCUGAUCUCAGAAGCUAAGCAGGAUCGGGCCUGGUUAGUACUUGGAUGAGAGAUCACCUAGGAAUACCGGGUGCUGUCAGAG
ensembl:rRNA 5S_rRNA 5S ribosomal RNA